AACACUUCGUGUAUUAAAUGUAUUUGUUUGGGAUGUAUGGGGGUACGUAUUUGUUUGUCAACGUUUGAUAAGCUACAGCGCUGCCUCAAAAGUAUUCGCGGAAAAACAAAAUGGCAGCGUGAUUUAUUUUUAGAUAGCAAAUUAAAAAAAUUAUUCACAGCUAGAAUUCUUUGAUUGUUUACUAAUUUUGAGUUCUCUCCCGUACAUGUAUCACAUGACUAAUCAUCUGACUAGGUGACGUACCAAUGUUGUUGUCUGCUAUAUUUAUCAACCGGUGUUUUCCAACAUGGCACGAAAGUCGAAAGAAAUUAGCACUGAGCUUAGACAAGUGGUUGUUGAUUUAAAACGGGAGGGACACAGAAAUCGUGACAUUGAGAGAUUGUUGAAUAUAUCUGAGUCAAUAAUUCGAUCUAUAUGGCAAAAGUUUUGCAUCAAGGGAAAUGUGGAAAAUUUGUCCCGUUCCGGGAGACCUCGAAAAGUUACCAAACGAGCGGAGAGUAGACUUUUGCGCUUAGUAAAAAGAAACCGUGGAAGACAAUAACGGGACAUAACGAAUGAUUUCAACGAUGGAGGUGCAAUAAAUGUUCAUCACAAGACUGUCCAAAGGAUUUUACACAGGAAUAAGAUUUUUAAGCGAGUUGUAAGGAAGAAAAUGGUAGUCAGGGAGGUAAACAGAAAAAACGACUUUCAUGGUGUCUUGCGAGGAGAAAAUGGUCAGUUCAGAAUGAAUGGAAGCAAGUUAUUUUCAGUGAUGAAUCACAGAUUGUGAUAGGACAAAAUAAUCGUGUGUAUGUAUGGCGGUCUGCAAAUGAAGCUUACCGUCCGGAAUGCAUGUGUCGCUCAUUUCAGAAGCGAGUGACUGUAAUGAUAUGGGGUUGUAUAUCUUGGCAUGGUGUUGGCACUUUAUGUAAAGUAAACGGAAAUAUAAAUGCUGUAAAAUAUCAAGAAAUUCUCGAAUUCUUUGGCCUGUUUUAGCCCGUCAUUUCUCCAAUAGAAUUUAUCGGUUUCAAGAUGACAAUGCCCCUGUACAUCGAGCGCGAAUUAUUGAGGAAUACAAACACAAUCAUAAUAUUAACUGUUUGACCUGGCCUGCCCAGUCACCAGACCUAAACAUAAUUGAAAAUAUAUGGCUUCGCAUUAAAAGAGAACUUCAAUAUACCGCCCAAAACAUAAGGACCCCAGAUGAAAUUUUUAACGCCAUCAACGAACUGUGGACUUCUUAUCAACCCCAGUAUGUUCAAAAUUUAUACAAUUCACUUCCAAGGAAAAUACUGGCAGUCAUUCGCUCCAAAGGUUGCUUGACAAAGUAUUAAAGUAAGUCUGUUUAUCAUUUUAAGUAUUUAUUUCAGCUCUAAACUUUGGAGACAGAGUUUGUUUCCGCGAAUACUUUUGAGGCAGCGCUGUACCAUUGGUCAAAUUCAACGGAAGACUUAGACAAGACGACGAUGUUGCAGUGUAACUUGCAGAUCUAUGCAGGAGGCCUAGCUGUCUAGGAACCCUAGGCUCUAUCUAGUACAGUAGUAGCCAUAGUGGGACAUGAAAAGAACGUAUUAGACUCGGUGAAACCUACCAAAUAGGUGCUGUGAUGGUAUACAUACAUGACCUGCUUUGGUCUGAAUGGUUUGGUAUUAAACUAUGGACAUGACAGUGGUAUCAUCUGUGAAUGACUGACCAUGCUGAUUAUGUCAAAGCUAUGGAAUAUUUCUACAUAAAAGGUCAUCAUACUUAUCAAAGACACAACAGAAUGCAAUAUAUGCGAACAAAAAUGACCAAGACAAAAGAAAAAUGUUAUAUGGGGAUAUAGGAAGUGGAUCAUCCAUUUUCCUUGCCUUUCCCUCGAGGUCUUCAGACAGUGUCUCUAUACAUCAUUAACCAUGUUGAUUAGCUCUCAUGAUGUCAUGCCAUUACUGCCACAUUACCUAUAAUACUGCCAGACUACCUAUAAUAAUACCAAAAUAUCAGAAUUAAAAUUUCAAAUACACAAGAUUUGAAGCAGCAAAAGAAAAGAAUUGCAGGUGUAUAAUACACAAAAGGAUAUUGAUUCUUACCGGGCUGAAAUGAAUUAAUAGUUGAACUUUCAUUCAUCUGUUUUACUGCAUAACAGUCAACAUAAGGAGUACAGUCAUUGUUAUCAACCUGUGUAUAUAUGUUGAAUAGAUUAUGAAGAAAGAAAAUCAUGCUUAUUUUUCUUACUAAAUGAAAGAAGUGGGAGAGCACAUAAAUAUGAGUGGAAGUGUACAUACAUGUAAUUUCUGAUGUAUACAAAGCACACUGCUUGG